rnacentral:rRNA from 1 species
GACGAACGCUGGCGGCGUGCUUAACACAUGCAAGUCGAACGGAAAGGCCUCUUUCGGGGGGUACUCGAGUGGCGAACGGGUGAGUAACACGUGAGUAACCUGCCCGUGACUUUGGGAUAACUUCAGGAAACUGGGGCUAAUACCGGAUAGGAGCUCCUGCUGCAUGGUGGGGGUUGGAAAGUUUCGGCGGUUGGGGAUGGACUCGCGGCUUAUCCGCUUGUUGGUGGGGUAGUGGCUUACCAAGGCUUUGCCGGGUAGCCGGACUGAGAGGGUGACCGGCCACAUUGAGACUGAGAUACGGCCCAGACUCCUACGGGAGGCAGCAGUGGGGAAUAUUGCACAAUGGAUGGAAGCCUGAUGCAGCAACGCCGUGUGCGGGAUGACGGCCUUCGGGUUGUAAACCGCUUUCGCUCAUGACGAAGCUUUGUGUGACGGUAGUGGGUAAAGAAGCACCGGCUAACUACGUG